rnacentral:rRNA from 1 species
UUUGAUCCUGGCUCAGGACGAACGCUGGCGGCGCGCCUAACACAUGCAAGUUGAACGAGAGAGAAGGAGCUUGUUUCUUCGAUCGAGUAGCGAACGGGUGAGUAACGCGUGAGGAACCUGCCUCAAAGAGGGGGACAACAGUUGGAAACGACUGCUAAUACCGCAUAAGCCCACGGGUCGGCAUCGACCUGAGGGAAAAGGAGCAAUCCGCUUUGAGAUGGCCUCGCGUCCGAUUAGCUAGUUGGUGAGGUAACGGCCCACCAAGGCGACGAUCGGUAGCCGGACUGAGAGGUUGAACGGCCACAUUGGGACUGAGACACGGCCCAGACUCCUACGGGAGGCAGCAGUGGGGAAUAUUGCACAAUGGGGGAAACCCUGAUGCAGCGACGCCGCGUGGAGGAAGAAGGUCUUCGGAUUGUAAACUCCUGUUGUUGAGGAAGAUAAUGACGGUACUCAACAAGGAAGUGACGGCUAACUACGUGCCAGCAGCCGCGGUAAAACGUAGGUCACAAGCGUUGUCCGGAAUUACUGGGUGUAAAGGGAGCGCAGGCGGGAAGACAAGUUGGAAGUGAAAUCCAUGGGCUCAACCCAUGAACUGCUUUCAAAACUGUUUUUCUUGAGUAGUGCAGAGGUAGGCGGAAUUCCCGGUGUAGCGGUGGAAUGCGUAGAUAUCGGGAGGAACACCAGUGGCGAAGGCGGCCUACUGGGCACCAACUGACGCUGAGGCUCGAAAGUGUGGGUAGCAAACAGGAUUAGAUACCCUGGUAGUCCACACCGUAAACGAUGAUUACUAGGUGUGUGGGGGAUUGACCCCUUCCGUGCCGGAGUAAACACAAUAAGUAAUCCACCUGGGGAGUACGACCGCAAGGUUGAAACUCAAAGGAAUUGACGGGGGCCCGCACAAGCAGUGGAGUAUGUGGUUUAAUUCGACGCAACGCGAAGAGCCUUACCAGGUCUUGACAUCGAGUGACAGUCUAAGAGAUUAGGCUUUCCCUUUGGGGACACAAAGACAGGUGGUGCAUGGUUGUCGUCAGCUCGUGUCGUGAGAUGUUGGGUUAAGUCCCGCAACGAGCGCAACCCUUAUCAUUAGUUGCUACGCAAGAGCACUCUAAUGAGACUGCCGUUGACAAAACGGAGGAAGGUGGGGAUGACGUCAAAUCAUCAUGCCCUUUAUGACCUGGGCUACACACGUACUACAAUGGCGUUUAACAAAGAGAAGCAAAGCCGCGAGGCAGAGCAAAUCUCCAAAAAACGUCUCAGUUCGGAUUGUAGGCUGCAACUCGCCUACAUGAAGUCGGAAUUGCUAGUAAUCGUAGGUCAGCAUACUACGGUGAAUACGUUCCCGGGCCUUGCACACACCGCCCGUCA